AGAGUUUGAUCCUGGCUCAGAACGAACGCUGGCGGCGUGCAUAACACAUGCAAGUCGAACGAGAAAGCUCCUUCGGGAGUGAGUAAAGUGGCGCACGGGUGAGUAACACGUAGGUAAUCUGCCUUCGAGUUCGGGACAACUUGCCGAAAGGCGGGCUAAUACCGGAUAAGACCACGACCUCUGCGGAGGAUGUGGUAAAAGAUGGCCUCUCCAUGGAAGCUAUCGCUUAAAGAGGAACCUGCGGCCCAUUAGCUUGUUGGUGAGGUAACGGCUCACCAAGGCGAUGAUGGGUAGCUGGUCUGAGAGGACGAUCAGCCACACUGGAACUGAGACACGGUCCAGACUCCUACGGGAGGCAGCAGUGGGGAAUAUUGCGCAAUGGGCGAAAGCCUGACGCAGCAACGCCGCGUGAGUGAUGAAGGCCCUCGGGUUGUAAAGCUCUGUCAGGAGGGAAGAAACGACAGGAUGCCAAUACCAUCCUGUACUGACGGUACCUCCAGAGGAAGCACCGGCUAACUCCGUGCCAGCAGCCGCGGUAAUACGGAGGGUGCAAGCGUUGUUCGGAAUUAUUGGGCGUAAAGGGCGUGCAGGCGGUUUAGCAAGUCGGGUGUGACAUCCCUAGGCUCAACCUAGGAAAUGCAUUCGAUACUGCUAAGCUAGAGUCCGAGAGAGGGGAGUGGAAUUCCCAAUGUAGAGGUGAAAUUCUUAGAUAUUGGGAGGAACACCAGUGGCGAAGGCGACUCCCUGGAUCGGUACUGACGCUGAGCCGCGAAAGCGUGGGGAGCAAACAGGAUUAGAUACCCUGGUAGUCCACGCUGUAAACGAUGAACACUAGGUGUUGCGGGUAUUGACCCCUGCAGUGCCGAAGCUAACGCAUUAAGUGUUCCGCCUGGGGAUUACGGUCGCAAGGCUAAAACUCAAAGGAAUUGACGGGGGCCCGCACAAGCGGUGGAGUAUGUGGUUUAAUUCGACGCAACGCGAAGAACCUUACCCAGGUUUGACAUCUGAAGAAUCCCCUGGAGACAGGAGAGUGCCCUUCGGGGAACUUCAAGACAGGUGCUGCAUGGCUGUCGUCAGCUCGUGUCGUGAGAUGUUGGGUUAAGUCCCGCAACGAGCGCAACCCUUGUCCUUAGUUGCCACCAUUUAGUUGGGGACUCUAAGGAGACUGCCGGUGAUAAACCGGAGGAAGGUGGGGAUGACGUCAAGUCCUCAUGGCCUUUAUGCCUGGGGCUACACACGUACUACAAUGGCCGGUACAAAGAGGCGCAAGACCGCGAGGUGGAGCAAAUCUCAAAAAACCGGUCUCAGUCCGGAUUGGAGUCUGCAACUCGACUCCAUGAAGUUGGAAUCGCUAGUAAUCGUGGAUCAGCAUGCCACGGUGAAUACGUUCCCGGGCCUUGUACACACCGCCCGUCACACCACGAAAGUUGUUUGGACCAGAAGUCAUUAGGCUAACCCUUGGGAGGCCGGUGCCUAAGGUCUGAAUGGUGAUUGGGGUGAAGUCGUAACAAGGUA
rnacentral:rRNA from 1 species